rnacentral:rRNA from 1 species
GGGCCCGCACAAGCGGUGGAGUAUGUGGUUUAAUUCGAUGCAACGCGAAGAACCUUACCAGGGUUUGACAUCCUGCGAAUCUCUUGGAAACGAGAGAGUGCCUUCGGGAACGCAGUGACAGGUGGUGCAUGGCUGUCGUCAGCUCGUGUCGUGAGAUGUUGGGUUAAGUCCCGCAACGAGCGCAACCCACGUCGUUAGUUGCCAGCAUUUAGUUGGGCACUCUAGCGAGACCGCCGGUGAUAAACCGGAGGAAGGUGUGGAUGACGUCAAGUCAUCAUGCCCCUUACAUCCUGGGCUACACACGUACUACAAUGCUACGGACAAAGGGCAGCAAACUCGCGAGAGCUAGCAAAUCCCAUAAACUCGAUCUCAGUUCGGAUUGUACUCUGCAACUCGAGUACAUG